rnacentral:rRNA from 1 species
CGCUACCAUGCAGUCGCACGAGAAAGCAGGAAGCAAUCCUGUGAGUACAGUGGCGUACGGGUGAGUAACACGUGGGUGAUCUACCCUUUAGUGGGGAAUAACGCUGGGAAACCGGCGCUAAUACCGCAUAAUCUCGAGAGAGGAAAGCAGCAAUGCGCUGAAGGAGGAGCCCGCGGCCGAUUAGCUAGUUGGUAGGGUAAAAGCCUACCAAGGCAGAGAUCGGUAGCCGGCCUGAGAGGGCACACGGCCACACUGGCACUGAAACACGGGCCAGACUCCUACGGGAGGCAGCAGUGGGGAAUCUUGCACAAUGGGGGAAACCCUGAUGCAGCGACGCCGCGUGGGCGAUGAAGCCCUUCGGGGUGUAAAGCUCUUUCGUCAGGGACGAUAAUGACGGUACCUGGAGAAGCAGCUGCGGCUAACUACGUGCCAGCAGCCGCGGUAAUACGUAGGCAGCGAGCGUUGUUCGGAGUUACUGGGCGUAAAGGGUGUGUAGGCGGUUUUCUAAGUUUGGUGUGAAAUCUCCCGGCUCAACCGGGAGGGUGCGCCGAAAACUGGGAGACUAGAGUGCGGGAUGGGAGAGUAGAAUUCCUGGUGUAGCGGUGAAAUGCGUAGAUAUCAGGAGGAAUACCGGUGGUGUAGACGGCUCUCUGGACCGCCACUGACGCUGAGACACGAAAGCGUGGGUAGCAAACAGGAUUAGAUACCCUGGUAGUCCACGCCCUAAACGAUGCAUAUUUGGUGUAGGUCAUUCAGUUGAUCUGUGCCGGAGCUAACGCGUUAAAUAUGCCGCCUGGGGAGUACAGUCGCAAGGCUGAAACUCAAAGGAAUUGACGGGGGCCCGCACAAG